AUAGCGUAUAUUCAAGUUGUUGCAGUUAAAAAGCUCGUAGUUGAACUUCAGAUUUGGUCGGGUGGUCCGCUUAACGGCGUGUUACUGCUUGGCUGGGUCUUGUCUCUUGGUGAACCAUUGUGCCCUUUAUUGGUGUGCUUUGGGGAACCAGGACUUUUACCUUGAGAAAAUUAGAGUGUUCAAAGCAGGCCUAUGCCUGGAUACAUUAGCAUGGAAUAAUAGAAUAGGACGUGUGGUUCUAUUUUGUUGGUUUCUAGAAUUGCCGUAAUGAUUAAUAGGGAUAGUUGGGGGCAUUGGUAUUCAGUCGCUAGAGGUGAAAUUCUUGGAUUGACUGAAGACCGACUAUUG
rnacentral:rRNA from 1 species